AUGGCGACUAAGCUCGCAGCGCUCGUCGUCUUGGUCGCGUUCCUCGCUGGGCCCGCGGCGUGCGAGGGCACCUACAUUUGCUUCAACGGUUGGCUGAGGCUUCCUAGCAUCCUGGACAAGCUGCUCUGUCCUCGCGGCUCCGGCACUCGGCGGGAGCCGGUCCCUUCUCCCUCGGGGUCAGGGCUCAGCUACGGCUAUUACAGCACCAGCUGCCCUAGUGCGGAGAAGAUCGUUAAGGAAGCCGUGAAGAAGGCCGUGGAUGAGAACCCCGGCAUUGGCGCGGGGCUCGUCCGUCUCUUCUUCCAUGAUUGCUUCGUUCGGGGGUGCGAUGCUUCCGUCCUCCUCAACACGACCAACUCCAAUAACGAGACGGAGAGGGAAGGCCUUCCCAACAUGAACAGCCUACGAGGGUUCGAGGUGAUCGACGAGGCCAAGACGGCGAUCGAGGCCGCCUGCAACAAUACAGUCUCAUGCGCGGACAUCGUCGCCUUCGCCGCCCGCGACGCAUCCUACUUCCUCAGCAACGGCAGCAUCAAUAUCCCGAUGCCAGGCGGCCGCUACGACGGGCGCGAGUCCUUCGCCAGCGAGACCGACCAGCUGCCCGGGCCCUUCUCCAACGUCGCGGAGCUUAACGCGAGCUUC
rnacentral:rRNA from 1 species